rnacentral:tRNA from 1 species
GACCGCGUAGCUCAGUUGGCAGAGCAUUGGGCUAGUCUUCGAAAGGUCGUAGGUUCGAUUCCCACCGUGGUCA